AAAAAAAGGGGGAAAACCUGAAACAAAAUUAUAAAGGACCCCCAAUCCCCUGGAGCAACCUGGAGAAAAGAGCCUUGCUCAAUGACACACUGGGUGUGACGGCUGCGGAGAUCGAACCACUUCAGUGGUUUAGCCCAUCACACAAAUAAUGUAGUGGUGCUCAUGGAGAGCAGGCAUGUCAUUCAUUCAUUCAUUCAUGGAGAGCAGGCAUGUUUACAGCAGACACAGCAGCAGCCAGAUUGUCCCACAAAUGCUCUCCUACUCACUCUUGCUUCAAGGUUGUGUGGUUCAGGGGGGCGUCACUCAUCCUCUGGCUCAACGAUGUCCCCAUUGAGAAGAGCGAGAUUGUGAAGCACAGCACAGCAUGCAAGAACCUCAGGCACGAAGGCAGGGCUCGCCUCUAAGGGCUUGAAGAAAAUAGAGCACCAGUGUGUUUUCAGCAUGCCAAAAGGGUUCUGUACAGUCUCUUUCUCAUUCAUGAUCAGAUUCCAGCAAUGAGGGACGUGAUGGACAGUAGAGACAGGCAGGCCCGGAUUAAGAACACAUAGGGCCCUGGGGCUAUAGCAAACCCAAGGGCCCUCAUAGUAGCCUAUCUUGGUGCCACAACAUUUUCUACCACAGGAAUAAUUCGUUUUCUUUUUUGUUUUUUGUUUUAAAUCAA